rnacentral:rRNA from 1 species
AGCGAACGCUGGCGGCAGGCCUAACACAUGCAAGUCGAGCGCCCGGGCAACCGGGAGCGGCAGACGGGUGAGUAACACGUGGGAACAUGCCCUUCGGUUCGGAAUAACUCAGGGAAACUUGAGCUAAUACCGGAUACGUCCGUAAGGAGAAAGAUUUAUCGCCGAAGGAUUGGCCCGCGUCUGAUUAGCUAGUUGGUGGGGUAAAAGCCCACCAAGGCGACGAUCAGUAGCUGGUCUGAGAGGAUGAUCAGCCACACUGGGACUGAGACACGGCCCAGACUCCUACGGGAGGCAGCAGUGGGGAAUAUUGGACAAUGGGCGCAAGCCUGAUCCAGCCAUGCCGCGUGAGUGAUGAAGGCCCUAGGGUUGUAAAGCUCUUUCGGCGGGGAAGAUAAUGACGGUACCCGCAGAAGAAGCCCCGGCUAACUUCGUGCCAGCAGCCGCAGUAACAC